UGAGCCUUAGUAGAGAAAUCGACUAAGUGACUGUUUUCAUAUUCAGGGAAACCUAAGGUUUGAAAUAUGAGGUAAUCCUGAGCCAAAUUUUAGUUAUAAAAUAGGUGCAGAGACUCGAAGGAAACUAUCCUAACGAAAAAUUUUUUCUUUAUUUUUUUAUUACGAAUAUUAAUUCAAUGCACAAUACAAAAUAUAUUCGAAAUUAAAAACAUUUGAAUACUAAAUAUUUAUAUUUGUUUUUAACUAAAUUCUAAUAGACGAGGAUAAAGAUAGAGUCCUUUUUUACAAUAUACAUAUAUAUAAUUUUUAUUUAUAGAAGAUAAUUGUAAAAAGAAAAUCCGUUGGCUUUAAUAGACCUUGAGGGUUCAAGUCCCUCUACCCCCA
rnacentral:tRNA from 1 species